AGCAGCCGCGGUAAUUCCAGCUCCAAUAGCGUAUAUUAAAGUUGUUGCAGUUAAAAAGCUCGUAGUUGAAUUUCGGGGUUCUACCGUUGGUCGGGCUUUGUCUGUACUGGCGUGUAGAAUUUCUACCUUCUGGGGAACCAUCAUGUUAUUUAUUUAGCGUGGUGGGAAACCAGGACCUUUACCUUGAAAAAAUUAGAGUGUUCAAAGCAGGCUUACGUCUGAAUACAUUAGCAUGGAAUAAUAGAAUAGGACGGUGGUCCUGUUUUGUUGGUUUCUGAAUCACCGUAAUGAUUAAUAGGGAUAGUAGGGGGCAUUAGUAUUCAAUUGUCAGAGGUGAAAUUCUUGGAUUUAU
rnacentral:rRNA from 1 species